rnacentral:rRNA from 1 species
UAAGGAAUAUUGGUCAAUGGACGCAAGUCUGAACCAGCCAUGCCGCGUGAAGGAUGAAGGUCCUCUGAAUUGUAAACUUCUUUUAUCUGGGACGAAAACGGGAUUUUUAUCUCAAUUGACGGUACCAGAGGAAUAAGCACCGGCUAACUCCGUGCCAGCAGCCGCGGUAAUACGGAGGGUGCGAGCGUUAUCCGGAUUUACUGGGUUUAAAGGGUGCGUAGGUGGGCUUAUAAGUCAGUGGUGAAAUCUCCGAGCUUAACUUGGAAACUGCCGUUGAUACUAUAGGUCUUGAAUUAUCUGGAGGUAAGCGGAAUAUGUCACGUAGCGGUGAAAUGCUUAGAUAUGACAUAGAACACCAAUUGCGAAGGCAGCUUACUACAUAUAAAUUGACGCUGAGGCACGAAAGCGUGGGGAUCAAACA